AUUAAUGAUUUCUAGGGUAGCAUACAGUUUGAUUCCUAUGUUUUGAGAGUAUUAAACAAAUGGAGGCAUCUGUAACCUAGGAAAGAGACUAUCUCAUGUGGAAGACAGAGUGUGCAACACAACAGGAAAGACAUAGGGAUGCUUCCAUGUGGUGGGUGUAUCACCAGCUUGAAGGCACUUUGCUCAUAGGAAAACCCUGAGAACAGACACAUGGAGUCAGAAAGAGUUAAGCAAUACAUGUAGAUGAAAGUCAUGGAGAAACUUUAUUUCAGGUAGAGGCAAGGAAGAAUAGGGAAGUGAACAGUCAAAAAUUCAGAAAUACUGUAAGAAACGUCAGGCACUUUUUCUUUCUUUUUAUUACUUAAGGGAAACUGUAUUUAGUUUUCUCUUUAAAACAAUCUGGUCUAAAAACGAGUUGAAGUUAAGAGAGAAGAGCACGAAUCUUCUAACAAAGUCAGACAUAGACCGCAAGGCAGAAUGGGCACUUGUCAGGAACUUCCAUGUCGGAUCUUGUCCAUCUUGGAACCGAGGUCAUCGCAGAUUCUGGUCAGUUCAUUGUUUCUUUAAGUCUUCUGCUCAGUGGCCUUCUCCAGCAAGGGGAUGUGCACCUACCUGCUUCUUCCUUAGGCUCGUCUGGAAGGCCACUAACCUUACUCCGUAUGUGGUUGAUCUUCCCAUCUUUCGGCUUGCAUUUCUUUUCUGCAUGGGCCUUCAGUGCUUGCUAUCUUUGGCCUUCCUUUCCAACUGUUACUAUGCAAUCAACGUGCUUCUUCAGCGAUCCUUCAUUGGUUAGGAAGCAUUCAUUAGUAGCCUUUGAUCAACUUUUUUAGUGGCUCAGCUUUGAGAGGUCAGAGAAAAUGGAAAAAUCUUCCAUGGAGUUCAGGUCUGUUGCAAAUUGGUCUUUUUCUUUCCGAACCUUCUGGAUCUCAGCUUUGGCAGGUUGCUUCUGUCUCUGGGCCUCCUUCCUCGCCCCGUACACAAUCCCCUCAAACCCAUCCACGAUCUUUCCCAUCUGCAGGCGCUUUAUGCAGAGCGCAUCGUGCUCUUCAGCACCAGGCUCUCCUUUUGUGUCACUUCCGGGCUGCGUCCUGGUUCCUGGGGUGUACGGCAGCACGUCCACGAUGGGCGGCAAGGGCAGCGGCACAGAAAUCCACCGGUGGUCCCAGAAAACCAGCUUCCUCCCCACCAGCCUCAGGCGGACUUCCCAGGAAGGUGCAGCCCGAAACUCGUGCACUUCUCGUCUCAGGGGAGCACACGCGAGUCUCUGAGGGCUGCCCUUUGGGAGCAGGUGAACUUGAGGGAAGUGGGCUGUUUCUGCAGGCCGACUUUCCAAACAGGAAAUCCUAAACCGCUCCACCCCGGCGGUGUACCUAGAACCUCAGCUUGUCCCGGAAGUACUCCCGCCCUCUGGUCCCAGGCAGCCGCGGGCAGGCUGAGCGGAAGCGGCGCGGAGGCAGGGGACCAGGCGGUGGGCCCCCUGAUCCGCCUGCGGGUGGGAGCCCAAGUGCGCGAAGAAGCCGCGGUUCCCUCCUCGCCCGUCGCCCCUUCGGCCCCUGCGGGGGCUGUACCCCAGGCGUGCCAUCCGCCGAGGCUGAAAGCACCUGCCUGCUCGGAGAGAGUGCACACAUGCACUUGUGGGUGGAGAAAGGGCAGAGAGAGAAAGAGAGAGAGAGAGGAAGAAUCUUAAGCAGUUUCCACACUCAGCACAGAGCCCAACAUGGAGCUCAGUCUCAAAACCGUGAGAUCAUGACCUGAGCUGAAAUGAAGAGUCGGACACUCAACUGACUGAGACACCUAGGCACCCCAAGAGGUCUGUUGAAUAUUGGCAUUCAUGGGUUGUGCAUUAUGAAUGCACUAAUAGAGACAGAUACAAAACUAAUAGAGACCGAUACAAAACUAAUAGAGACAGAUACGAAAUGCUGG
ensembl:lncRNA